AUGGGAAUAGGACUUCAUUUCAAACGGUCUAAUUCUUCUCUUGUGAGUGCAUUCUCUGAUGCUGACUGGGCAGGAUGUAGUGAUGACAGAAGAUCAACUGGAGGUUUUGCAGUGUUCUUUGGAUCUAAUCUUAUCUCCUGGAGUGCUAGAAAGCAAGCUACUGUGUCACGCUCAAGUACAGAAGCUGAAUACAAGUCUUUGGCUAAUGCAACUGCUGAGAUCAUUUGGGUUGAAUCACUUCUUGAGGAAUUGGGAAUCAAGAAGAAUCGUACCUCAUGUUUAUGGUGUGAUAAUUUGGGAGCAACAUAUCUGUCUGCAAAUCCAGUGUUCCAUGCCAGGACAAAGCACAUAGAAAUUGAUUUUCACUUUGUACGAGAAAGGGUUGCGGCAAAGAAACUUGAGAUUCGAUUUAUUCCUUCUAAGGAUCAAGUGGCUGACGGUUUUACAAAAGCACUACCAGCAAGACCAUUUGAAGAAUUCAAGAGUAAUCUUAACUUAGGUUAG
rnacentral:rRNA from 1 species